GACGAACGCUGGCGGCGUGCUUAACACAUGCAAGUCGAACGGAUGCCCUUUUUGCAGCAAUGCUUGGGGGGUGUUAGUGGCGAACGGGUGAGUAACACGUGAGGAACCUGCCUUGGAGACGGGGGAUAACUUUCGGAAACGGGGGCGUAAUACUCGAUGUCUUCGCUUGGUCGCAUGGCUGGGUGAAGAAAUGCUUUUGUGCUCUGGGAGGGUCUCGCGGCCUAUCAGCUUGUUGGUGAGGUAAUGGCUCACCAAGGCGUCGACGGGUAGCUGGUCUGAGAGGAUGAUCAGCCACACUGGGACUGAGACACGGCCCAGACUCCUACGGGAGGCAGCAGUGGGGAAUCUUGCGCAAUGGGCGAAAGCCUGACGCAGCAACGCCGCGUGGGGGACGAAGGCUUUCGGGUUGUAAACUGCUUUUGUACGGAACGAAAAGACUCUGGUUAAUACCUGGGGUCCAUGACGGUACCGUAAGAAUAAGCACCGGCUAACUACGUGCCAGCAGCCGCGGUAAU
rnacentral:rRNA from 1 species